AGAGUUUGAUCAUGGCUCAGGAUGAACGCUAGCGGCAGGCCUAAUACAUGCAAGUCGAACGGUGUCUUCGGACAUAGUGGCGCACGGGUGCGUAACACGUAUGCAACCUACCUUACAUUGGGGGAUAGCCUUUCGAAAGGGAGAUUAAUACCGCAUAAGACAGUAACUAGGCAUCUAGUAGCUGUUAAAGAUUUAUCGAUGUAAGCUGGGCAUGCGUCCAAUUAGCUAGUUGGUGAGGUAACGGCUCACCAAGGCAAUGAUUGGUAGGGGAACUGAGAGGUCAAUCCCCCACACUGGCACUGAGAUACGGGCCAGACUCCUACGGGAGGCAGCAGUAGGGAAUAUUGGGCAAUGGACGCAAGUCUGACCCAGCCAUGCCGCGUGCACGAUGAAGGCGUUAUGCGUUGUAAACUGCUUUUAUACAGGAAGAAACGACUCUUGCGAGAGGCAUUGACGGUACUGUAUGAAUAAGCACCGGCUAACUCCGUGCCAGCAGCCGCGGUAAU
rnacentral:rRNA from 1 species